rnacentral:rRNA from 1 species
GAUGAACGCUGGCGGCGUGCCUAAUACAUGCGAGUCGAGCGAACGGACGAGAAGCUUGCUUCUCUGAUGUUAGCGGCGGACGGGUGAGUAACACGUGGAUAACCUACCUAUAAGACUGGGAUAACUUCGGGAAACCGGAGCUAAUACCGGAUAAUAUUUUGAACCGCAUGGUUCAAAAGUGAAAGACGGUCUUGCUGUCACUUAUAGAUGGAUCCGCGCUGCAUUAGCUAGUUGGUAAGGUAACGGCUUACCAAGGCAACGAUGCAUAGCCGACCUGAGAGGGUGAUCGGCCACACUGGAACUGAGACACGAUCCAGACUCCUACGGGAGGCAGCAGUAGGGAAUCUUCCGCAAUGGGCGAAAGCCUGACGGAGCAACGCCGCGUGAGUGAUGAAGGUCUUCGGAUCGUAAAACUCUGUUAUUAGGGAAGAACAUAUGUGUAAGUAACUGUGCACAUCUUGACGGUACCUAAUCAGAAAGCCACGGCUAACUACGUG